rnacentral:rRNA from 1 species
GACGAACGCUGGCGGCGUGCUUAACACAUGCAAGUCGAGCGGAGCGGCGAACGGGUGAGUAACGCGUGAGUAACUGACCCCCUCUCUGGGAUAACAGUUGGAAACGGCUGCUCAUACCGGAUAGUGGGGGAUGACUCGCGUCCUAUCAGCUUGUUGGUGGGGUAGUGGCCUACCAAGGGGACGACGGGUAGCCGGCCUGGGAGGGGGACAGGCCACAUUGGGCGACGAUACGGACCAAAGUCCUACGGGAGGCAGCGGUGGGGAGUAUGGCACAAUGAGGCAAACCGUGAGGCAGCAGCGCCGCGUGCGGGAUGACGGCCUGCGGGUUGUAAACCGCUGUCAGCCAUUACGCGGUAGUGGCAGAAGAAGCACCGGCUAACUACGUGCCAGCCGCCGCGGUAAUUC